rnacentral:rRNA from 1 species
UUGAAGACGACGCGUUGAUAGGCGGGUGUGUAAGCGCAGCGAUGCGUUGAGCUAACCGGUACUAAUGAACCGUGAGGCUUAACCUUACAACGCCGAAGC